ACCACCGGCUUGGCGUGCCCAACACGUUGUCUGACUGUUUCUCUUUGCUUUAUUUUCGUGUAAAGUGGAUGGGGUGCUACAAAACGGAAUGUGACCGGCAUGAACUCGAACCUGUGAACGUGACAAGCAAGUCGCACGUGUACGGCAAGCGCCUACAAGCGGUCACCCAGGCCAGCAGCCUUACAAGUCCGGUCUCAACCAGGGCACACAACGGCAACUGCGACGAAGCUUGGCUUCCGAACCGCGGCGUACUCUUCUGGGCCACUGUCAUCAAGCAACGCUUUGGAGGAACCGGAGCUGUGAAAGGGCCUGCCCUGCUGGAACACACCGCGCAACGACGUCAUCGGGACCGUUCAGGCAGCUGACAAAUCAUUCGUUCCACGGACGGCGGCCAGAGGAAGAAAUGGCCAUUGCGAAAACUGCAGAGCAAUAAAAU